UACGUAGGGGGCUAGCGUUGUCCGGAAUCAUUGGGCGUAAAGCGCGUGUAGGCGGCCCGGUAAGUCCGCUGUGAAAGUCGGGGGCUCAACCCUCGAAUGCCGGUGGAGUACUGUCGGGCUUGAGUACGGAAGAGGCGAGUGGAAUUCCCGGUGUAGCGGUGGAAUGCGCAGAGUAUCAGGAGGAACACCGAUGGCGAGGCAGACUCGCUGGGACGGUACUGACGCUGAGGCGCGAAAGCGUGGGGAGCGAACAGGAUAGAUACCGUAG
rnacentral:rRNA from 1 species